UUGCCAACCGCCAAUAAACCCUAUACAGAAGAAGAAGAAGAAAUGAAAGUGGAAGUUAGUGAAAGUAAAAUCAGAGCUGCAGUCACGCAAAUCUUCGUAUCUAAAGAAGAUCAAGAGGAGAAUUGUUUUUUUUUUCUCAACAACAAACUGGAAUGCAGCUUAAUGAUGGAUCCCUCACUUGCACUGACAUCUCUUUGGGCCUCAUAUUUUAAAGUGAAAAAUGAAAAGCUAUAAAAAAAAUCAACAGUAUGAAGCAACUUCAUUUAUGAUGAAAUCACGAUGGAACCGACCUCAUCUGGCUAUGAAACAGCUUGUUACCUAAUUGUCCCAUUACCUGUGAGCUUCUGCAAAUGAGUGACAAGAGUGCAGACAUGUUUGCUGCCAGUAAUCUGCGACCUGAAGAUCAGUUUU